UACAGGGGGUGCAAACGUUGCUCGGAAUCAUUGGGCGUAAAGGGCGCGUAGGCGGCCUGCUAAGUCGAACGUGAAAUCCCUGGGCUCAACCCAGGAACUGCGUCCGAUACUGGUUGGCUUGAAUCCGGGAGAGGGAUGUGGAAUUCCAGGUGUAGCGGUGAAAUGCGUAGAUAUCUGGAGGAACACCGGUGGCGAAGGCGGCAUCCUGGACCGGCAUUGACGCUGAGGCGCGAAAAGCCAGGGGGAGCAAACGGGG
rnacentral:rRNA from 1 species